GAGGACCUGAAGGUUUGGGUGGGCAACAUCACCGGCAGCAUCACGGAGCACGAGGACAUCGCCAAAUGGGGGCAGCCCCAACCAACUACCUCAUCCACCGACGAGGGCACGCGGCAAGACGGCAGCAAGGCGGAAAACCGGUCAGAGCGAGGCGGUGAGCGCUCGGACCGCGGCGACCGGAUCGAGCCGGCGGAAAACGAGACGGAGAAGGAGAAGGAGAAGGGCGAGCGAUCGGAGCGGGGAGGGAAGUCGGACUCUAAGCGCUCGGAAAAGUCCGGUAAGAAAAAGUGAGCCGUGUGACGGAAUCGGUCGGGAUUGAACCGUACGAACUCCGGAUCGGAGGCGGGGCCGUAGACUGGUAGUGCAACGCCCCACACCGAUCCCUCACCCCGCCCUUCUCUCCGUCUCCGGCGCUGUCAACAAAAAGCGGAUGAGAAGUGACGCGCGGGUCAGAGGGACAGACCCGGGCUUUUACUCGUAAGACGGACAGGACGGUUUCGGAGCAGGAGACAUCUCUCUCUCUCUCUCUCUCUCUUUCCUUCUUCUGUGUCUCUGUGAGAACACACAGUCGCUGAGGCUCCGCCCCCGCCCCCUCUGGUGGCUGUUUCGGGGAACUGCAAGAGAGAGGGAGAGUUUUGCGCUGCCGAAACGCCCCAAACACAGGGGUCCGGGUGGGGUGGGGGGUGUUAACCGCGCACGUUAGAGGGACGGGACGGGCGUCGCGUUGACUCGGAGGCUGCUCUGAAAGCCGUAGCUCAUUCUGUUCCAUGUUUGUUUGUCUUUCUACGAGAUGAGCUGUACCCAUAUGUAUUCUCGUCCGUCUGUCCUAUCUACUGUAUCUAUCUGUUAGUUGAGACACCCUCCUCUUUGUCUUAUUACUCCUUGGAAAGACAAUGGAAAUUAUGCCAAAAUGUUUUACAGACAAAUUUAGAGAAUGUUUAUUUUUUUGCAUUUUUCCUCCUCAAUGAUUUAUCUGUCUAGGAGGUCUGACUGUGGAAAAGAAAAAAGUGGAUGUGACUCUGGUUUUACUUUGAUAGCAAACUGGAAGCACAUUAAUCAUAGAUGAGAUCAGAACAAAUAGGGGAAAUGUUUGUCAUGAAAAAACAUCAAAAGGCUUGAAAUCCUUGAAAUUAGCUUAAAAUGUUGAAAAGUCUGCCUGACAAGCAGCUUCCCGUCACCUCUAUAGCAUUCAUUUAGGAUUUUAAAGAUCUUCUCCUUAAGAUGUGUUCAGGGCCGAGGAGUCACAAGGUGAUUAACUUAUUAAGUCCCUCCACAAUACGGUCACUGCAGAAGGCUAAUUUCUAAAAAAUAUACCUAAAAAUACAUGUACAGUAUGUAGAGUUCUUGGAUCCGUAAUCAGAAAGAGAUCAGACUCAUUUAACGGUAGUCUGGCUCCUUUCGUUUUACUCUUGUUUUUAUUCACACAUUACAUUACAUUACAGGUCAUUUAGCAGACGCUUUUAUCCAAAGCGACUUACAUUACACUUUAAACCCGUGGCUUUUCACAUUUUUGCCCAGGGAGCAAUUAGGGGUUAGGUGUCUUGCUCAGGGACACUUCGACAUGGACAUGGACCUGGAAUCGAACCAACAACCUUGUGCUUCCCACCACACCUUCUCUAACCCCUGCGCCACGACGACCCGACGACACACAAAAUACAUAGUUUGACAAGCAGUGUUGGCCAAGAUUUUGGUUCCGAUGCCUCAAAAGAAAUUUGUGGACCUCAUGCUUAAUCUGCUGAAUUUAGCAUUAAGCUUUCCAUUCAUUUCACAUUUGGCUUUGAUCAUAAGCACAAGAUCUGCAACUGGCAUGUUUUCAAUGAACCCCUCAUCUACUCUUUUAUUCUCUUAUAACAUCAAACUACUUGUUUGGUAUUUUCUUUGAUUUAUUCACACAAAUCGUGUGAAUCCUUUAUUUUUUAUUUAGUUUACAGAAUUCAAAAUAUCUUGUUUUUCUGUGUGUGCAUGUGCUUGUGUGUGUGCUUGUGUGUGUGUGUGUGUGUGUGUGUGUGCCGCUGCUCUACGCUCCCAGGGUCUCCAUAGCUCUCAGGUUAUUUAUGUUUGUGUGUUGUUCAUCGUGUGCUUUGCACUGUGAUACGUUCGUCUCCCCGUCCAACGCCAUCCUAGUCUUCCAGAAACGUCCGAUCCAUAACACUGACACACACACACAAACACACACACGCACACAGAAGAAUACAACUCGGCAAGUUUAAAGUGUCAAAGGUUAUAAAGAGUGUAAAAGGUUAUCAAACUAUCCAGGUGUAGAUGGGAAUGAACGGAUGAAUGCGCAGGUGAGAGCCAGGAAAGCAGACGGACCAAAUAUUUAGAAACGUCUGCAAGUUGUGAGAUUGCAUGUUCCGCUUGAAGAGAAAUCACAUCUUUGAUAGAAGCUCGUCUUUGCAGCCCGUUUAACUUGGUGUUUGCAUUUCCUGUAAACUCACCACAAAGCCAUAAACCAACAGAACUACAUAACAGUUUUUUUAUAAGCACCAGCAGCGGUGGCUGAUGAGCAAACUGAAGUAACUGCUGGAAGCAUCCUGGUCAGACGCCAUUUAAAAUCCUAUUUUUUCCUUCUAUAAAAUACUGUUUUGAUAUCAUUGCUACUAAUUUGUAUUUGUUUAGUUAAAGUCCAGCUGAAAUCGCUGCUGCUGCACAGCAGCUCAGGCAUCUGCUCAAUGAGUCACGCAGUUCUUUUGAGAAAAAUAAAAAAUCUGAACAAAAUGAUGUAAUAUUUUUGGUUUAACGAUGGUACCCGCAACCGUUUGCAUUUCAUUUAUUUUUGAGUCUUUUCUCCUGUAAAACUGGAAAAUACACAAUUUAAAUAACACUACAGACAAGUCUGCCUUUCUCCCCUUUGUUUGGAUAAUAUAAAACUGAAGAAUGAAUUAAACAGAAGAAUCAAAAGUAUUUUUUGUGUAUUUCAGUUGGACUUUAAACUUAAAGUGUCAUUCUCCUCUCUGAAGAGCUUGUAGAGCCUAAAAAUGUUAUUUUACGUUUUCUAAAGUUGAUAUUUGCUAGGUUAAUUAUUUAUUCUGUUCUAUGAAAGUGGGAUAUUUUGGUAACGAGAGUAUUUUUUUAUUUUAUUUUUUAUUUGUUUUUUAGAGUGUAUCAUAUUUAACUUCAGGAUUUUAAUUUAUAUUCUGUCCCGACCCGUUUGUCUGGUUUGUCUUCAUUGUAACAACACGUCUUGAGAACUGCAACUUUCUUUUAAUCUUUUUUGAUUUCAGCACCCUUUAUGCAUCUGAAUUGGGUGUGAACGCCACAUCCAUGGAAUCAUUUCACACGCAUGUCGGACACAACAAAGCCAGAGUCGGAAGAGCGGCGUUUUGGACGUGCGUGGCGACGCGGUCCAGCGGCCAUCUGUCGGAUUAUGCAUCCGGCGGCCUAAUGAACACUUUGUUGCUGUAGGUGCACACAGGACAAAAGCACGCAGGGUACAGAUAGCAGAACAAUGAAGGUCAUCUGAACCAUUCCACACAGCAGAAACUACCAGAUAUGUGACGGUGGGAAUGUUCAGAUCGGUCGGUACCCGGCCUGACACACCGGACCUCAGUCUGUCAGCCGAGAUGAAAUGACAAAAUAAAAUACCUUUUGAUUUAUCAUCCAUGUCUUUAUAGUUGGCUCUUUUUCUGUUCUCAUCUGGAAAAUAGGAGAUCUGUGUUUGCAUGUAGAUCACAAGACGAUACAAAUGUGCAUUAAAGCAGAAAUAACAGCAGUCAGUUAGUCGCUGGCGGUUUGAAAGAAGGUGGAAAUCUUUACUUAUACUUUAGAAGAUGGAAACAAUCAUUCAGCUAUUAACAUGAAACCUUGUUUCAAUCUUUGUCGCAUCUUGUGCACCAAAUCCACACAGCAGUAUGCAGUCAUUUACGAGGAUUUCAGAAGGGUUUGUUUAGAGAUUAGUAUUGUUGUUGAUGAUGAUGAUGAUGAUGGUGAUGAUGAUGAUGCCCAUGGUAGCAACGCACUGAAACUUUAUGCAACCUUUUCUUUGCACUAGGGACACAGGCCUGUUGCCGAGUUGAUGGUCAGUGGUGUUUGGUGAUCCAGCGGAGGGACGUCAGAGCCAGAAGGUUAAAGCAUUAUCUCCUUAGGUAGAAGAUGUUUUUACUGGAAGCUGUUUCAGGAUUAGUUUGUUUAAAAAACAUCAGCCGAUUCAACGACAAGAAAUUUAUUUUAAGAAAAACCUCUGACAGUAAAAAGUCGGAGUCGGAAAUUGGGGAUGGGAUUUUUUUUACAGUGGUUUUCUAAUGUUGUGUAGAUUCAAAUAUUUAAUUGAUUCAAACAUUAAAUUUAAUUGAAUUCAUGCAUUUUGUAAAACGUUUUUUAAAGAACAGUUGGUAAAAUCGACCAUCACGUUUACACAUAUGUAUCGAUGCUUUGAAAUACCCCGUCUUCUCUUUACAACCGGCUCCCAUUGCGCUCCUCAUUCGUCACUCGUCACAAACUGCCUGGAAUUUAUAACAUACUCAAUACUUGUCAAUGGUGCUCCGACUACAGUGCCCACAAUCGAGCUUAAGUGAGUAUAGUUAUUAUUUCAUUUUUAUGUUUCUGAGGACAAUCAAUUUAAAAAACGAUUGGAUCUCCCUCAUCCCAGGACCCCAGAGCACCACUGUCUAUCUGCCUCAGCCCGUUUCUCUGUCAGUAUGCCUGCCCACAGCAGCCUGAUGAUGUGUAAAUGUAUGGAAUGAGUAUUUUCUGUAAAAAAAAAAAAAAGCAGCAGAGGAAUAGGUUUAUUAAUGGGAAUACUUUUCUUUUCAUGUUAUGAAGUGAGAUUUGUUGAUGGACCGGGUGGAAAACACCUCCUUCACACACACAACUGGACAUAGAGGUUGCAUGAAUGACAGUCUCUUAGUGUGGUACUGCUGUGCAUGUCUUUCACGUCCCAUCCCUCCACUAUGCAAUCAGUGUCACAGACCAGGGGCACCAAAGCGAGUCGAGGGCGAGUGAAUGAACUGAUGAUAGUGUGUAAAAUGAUCACAACCAACUGGAAAUCAUUUGCUCUGUACAGCCGUUCUUUGAAAUGAUUAAUACAGAUUGUGAUAUUAAAAAGUUCCGGUCGGUGUUUGUGUGUUUU
ensembl:lncRNA